rnacentral:rRNA from 1 species
AUGAUGAAUAAAUUCUUGAUUACAAGUGAUUCAUCUUUCUUUCCGGAGUUGGUCAUCAUAUCACAUUCUCGGUUCGAGAGGCUUCAUCUUUCUUUUCGGAGUUCCAAGCUCUCUCAAUUAUCUCGUCGUGAAGCUCCAUCUAAAUCAUUGCAAGGGUUCACCUUGUGUUUUCAACCUCUCUUUAUUUCUAUCAUCCUUUUAUUACUGGAGUUCUUCAUGGAGGCUCUACAUGGUGGUUCAUCAAGGAUUCUUUUCAUUCUUCAAUUGUUCUUCAAGAUUUCUCUCGAAUCUAUGAUCUGCCAAGUUAUACUCAAAAAUAAACAUGGUGCUCAACACAUGUUUUGUUUUGAGGAGCUCAAGUAUUCUUCAUCUUGCAUUCCAAAGUGCAAUUCUUUUUGCCUUAUCUUUUGA